UCGUCUUAACAUUCUGUGUGUUUCUAACUUCUCCGAUUCUCAUCUGUAACGUCUACCUCCCACUCAUAAAAUCCUUUAUUUACUGCCAUAAUCGAGAUCAAGAAACCGUUGAAUCCCUCCGCUGAAAAUUCAUCUGUUCAAUCCCCUCAAUAAUAAGCUUCUCAAAAAAUCCAGUGCUAACAAUGGUUAUCUUCGCUGUUAGUGAUGUUUUGCAGGCGGCGAGAAGAAGAUAGAACGGACGAGAGAUGAGAUUCGUUGUUGAAGCUCAAUUACAAUACUUUAUAGAAGCAUGGUCUGGCAAUCUUCUAUGACGGUUGACUUUAUCUCCGGAGAUAACUCGAUGGGUUCGAUCACAUGCUCUGUUCUGUGUAAAGUUAAAUACAUCUGAGGAGAGAGAAGUGAAAAGUUAGGUUAAAGCUUCGCGUAGCGCGGGCGGCAAAGUAUCUGUCACGAGGUUUCCUCGCCUCUGUCGACUCCUACAUGAACUUGCAGCUUGGAAACACUGAAGAACACAUCGAUGGACAGUUGACAGGGAACCUGCGAGAGAUUUUAAUCAGUUUUUUAAGUUUUGCAUGUUUACAUUAAUCUUCAUUGGUGGUGGUGUAUAACAGAUCCAAGGGUCAUGUACUCUGAACCUGCCAAGUUCGUGGCUAAACUGAGAGAAAUGAAGACUGACAACAACUUGCUUUUUGUUCAAGUGUGAGCUUGGCGCUGGACAUUUCUCCAAAUCUAGGAGAUUCGAGAAGCGUCAGGAAGAUGUGUUUACGUUUGCGUUCAUGAUGAAAGUUUUGGACAUGAUUCCUGCUUGUGUCCGACUCCCCACAUUCAGACACCGAGUCAAUGCUGGUUCAAUGUUCAUAUUCAGCGGAUUUGAUGUGGUUGGUUGCAAUCAGAACUUCAGGCUGUCUGACUCUCUUCUGGUUAUUCGGUUUAGUGCCUCAACCAACUUUGAUGCGUUAACGGAACCGGCUUCUCCAAUUCUGGUAGAGCGUUUCAGGUUCCGUGAUCUGGAUUCUCUACUUGACCUAGCCAACACCAGCACACAACUUCCAGAGAUGGUCGUGACUUUGAGUUUGUUUGAGUCACAAGCUGUGUCGUUUCACAACAAACUGGAAUCUGGUCUUUUAGACAUACGACGUUGAGAAACGUUGAUGCAUAUCGUGAGACUGUAAAAUUGCUGAAUGUUACUCUUGCACCAAACCGAGUAGAAGCUCUUUGGAGGAGGAUGAUGAUGAUGAGGUGGGUGAUUGGGGGUUUGUGGUGAGGAAGCAUCGAAGAGUGGAGGAUGUCGACCUGACUGGAGGUGAAGGAUCUUCGUUUAGGGAGCCGGCGAGAGCUAUUUUGAAGUUGAGAGAUAGGUGUAGGAGAGGAUCGAAGGUGCGAAGCAGAGGAUGAUGAUUGAGUUGGAGAAGCAGAGGAUGGAAGCUGCGAAGGAGCUUGAGUUGCAACGGAUGAACAUGUUGAUGGAUAUGCAGAUGGAGGUUGAAAGAUCCAAGUUUGGCAAACGCAGUGUUGCUGCUUCAGGUAAGAAGUUGUUGUAUAACUUCUGGAGAAUCAUCUGAACCAUUGUUGUUGUUGUAUAGGUAAGAAUGUGGCAUUGUGGCUUCAACCAAUUUUCCAGUUGAACUUUUCUACGUUCUAAUUUUUUUGUGUACGUCGUUUCAGUUUUAUAGAUUACUAACUAUGCAUAAACUGAGCAUUGAAGCUUCAGCUUACUUCCUAAGAAAAAAAAUGCAUUAUUUAUGCCAAAA